rnacentral:rRNA from 1 species
AAUGAACGCUGGCGGCAUGCCUAAUACAUGCAAGUCGAACGAGACCUUCGGGUCUAGUGUCGUACGGGUGCGUAACGCGUGGGAACCUGCCCUCAGGUUCGGAAUAACUCCCCGACAGGGGUGCUAACACCAGAUAAUGUCUUCGGACCAAAGAUUUAUCGCCUUUGGAUGGGCCCGAGUUGGAUUAGCUAGUUGGUAGGGUAAAAGCCUACCAAGGCGACGAUCCAUAGCUGGUCUGAGAGGAUGCUCAGCCACACUGGGACUGAGACACGGCCCAGACUCCUACGGGAGGCAGCAGUGGGGAAUAUUGGACAAUGGGCGAAAGCCUGAUCCAGCAAUGCCGCGUGAGUGAUGAAGGCCUUAGGGUUGUAAAGCUCUUUUACCCGGGAUGAUAAUGACAGUACCGGGAGAAUAAGCUCCGGCUAACUCCGUG